CCGUGCUCUCGGGGCGCGGGGUCCCCAUUUUGGGCGAGGGCGGCCGCUCCCGCGCUCGGGGUGGGCGCGCCCCAUCCCCGUCCCCCGUUUCCCGUCCCCGUCUCCCGGCCGCAUCUCCGUCCCCCCGCAGCCGCGAAACGCGGGGAGGUUCCAGGGCCCGCGGCCGCGGGUUCGCGAGCACCGCGCUCCAGAUCGAGAGCGGCGCGCGCCCUUCCGUGGAGGACAGAGGGGCGCGGAGGGGGCGCCUGUGUCCCACCCGCUCGCGGGCGCUUUACGGGGCGUCCUCUGCGCCAUUCACUUGUCAGCUUGUCGGGAAGUUGAAAUCGCGUUUGGGAGGUAAUAGGAGAAAGAGAUCGGGGACGGCAGGCGGAGAAAGUGCGGUUUCCAUAGCGCCGGGGAGAGGGCGGACCCGCGAGCCAGCGGUCCCUGAGCCGGGAGACCGCGCGGGCGUCUCUCCAGCCCCCGCAGGAGCGCCGCCUUCCUUCCGCAGGGGCGUCCUCUCCCCCCACCGCUGCAGGAGCACCCCCUUCCUUCCUCGGAAGCGUCCUCUCACCACACCGCUUCAAGAGCCCCCCCUUCCUUCCACAGGGGCGUCCUUUCCCCCUCCGAGGCAGGAGCGCCCCUUUUCCCCCCACAGGAGCGCCCUCCCCACCCCAGGAGCGCCCUGCGCCCAGCAGACGGGCAGGUGGGCGGGCGUCCACUACCUGUGUGCGCGGUGCGGGCGGUGACUGCCAAGUUGGAGAUGCCCUUGGAGAACUGCUUCGAAUUCAUGUAUCUACUGGGCUUUUGUGACUUUCAAAGCCUAUAGCAAAUAAGCACCCCUGCAAUUACGUCUCCUCAAUGACCAAGUCAGGGUGAGGUGAGGGCUUCCUGAGUUCAGAUCCCAGCAAGCUCCCGAUCCUGCGCAACGAAGAAAACUCAACAAAACAGGCUUUGGCUGUUUAUUUUAUUUUUUUUUUAAUUGUGCCUUCAUGAAAUAAUUUACAGCAAUAAUUUAUCUUAUAAUAUUGGUUAUUGUUUUUAAGUCCCGGAUGUUUACUUUUGGAUGUCCUCUAUAAUUCAUAGAAGUAUCUUAAAAGUAAUAAAAUCUUAAUCUAAGAGAAAAUAAGUGUAAUUUUUGAAAGAGUGAUAUAUAUUUUAAUAUGUUUUUGUAACAUGUGACUUGAAGAUUGUGUUGGCUAAUUUUAUGUGCCAAGAGAGCCCUGACUAGUACAAAGAUUAUAGCGUUUUUAUUUUUAGCAUGUAUACAGUUAGGAUUAUUGAUCAGUAGCCUGAAUUUGGGAAGAAUAAUCAUUGUGGCAAAUAUCACCCAGUGUGCCUCAAAAAGGUGUGUUUAAAGUUGAUCUUCCAUUUUUAAAUCAUACCUUAAAAAAAAAUACCUCAAGAAAUGCCAUUUUAAGUCUGUGCACCUAUGUGUGCAUGUGUGCGUGUUUGUUUAUAUAAUAGAUUGUGUGAUUGUGUGUGUAUAGGUAUGUGUGUAUGAUUGUGUGUGUUGGGGGCGCCACCUUUAUGAACAUUAUGCUUCGGCGUUCUUUUUAGAUCUUGUUACCUUUUCUUACGUUCACAAAUGUUGCCUAGCAAUAUGUCUAGUCAGGAAAGAUGAAGGGAUUCUUAUCUUGGUGCUUGAAGAAAAUGUGGUGUAGUUUUAUUGGCUUUGUGAUCACUUACAUCCCACUUUUAUGAGGAUGUAAAUGGGCCACCUCUAUGUUCCUGUAUGUUGCCAGCCAUCAGUAGACAAUGCUAAAGGAACCACCACUUUUAAACAUCAUGUGAUGGUUUCUUCUGAGAAAGUAUAUUUUGCAAUCUUUUUCUUUUUCAUGUUGACUUUUAUUAUGCAGUUGCAUUUUCAUAUCCGUAUUGAACAUUUACUUGCUGUGCCUGUCACACGCUAGCAGGUGUCAUCUUUUCCUGUUUGCUUGUUUCUUGGGGCCAUCCUAGUGUUAAAGGCCAGUGUUUUUAAGGUGUCAGCAGCUCUGGAUUGGCAGUUAGCACUUUCCCCAUGUACUGCCUCAGUUACCAGACUGGGGACAAAAGAGAGAAGGUUAAAGAAUUAUCACCUAUGUCCGUGGUAUUCUGUCAUAGAGAGUAUAAAUUUCCUACAGCAAACUGGAAAUUAAUUGCAAUUCUGCAGUUAGAACCUCCAAAUACAAAUGUGGAUGAUACAAUUUCAAUUCUCAUUGAGAGUCAGCCCAUGAAACAAACCAACAGUAAGAAACUCUGUAAUUAGAAGUAUCCCAGUCCUCUUCCUCAACCGAGGAACUUGUUUUCUUUCCCCCUUUCUAUUGCCAGAUAAGCUAUUUAUUUAUUUAAAGCUUGUUCUACACCUUGUGAUUUUCCAACUGUUCUUCCAUACUUUUUCAACAAAAGUCAGCUAAUAACAUCUGCCAACAUGCUCUGCACGCAGGACUGGCUGGGGCUGGCAUGGCCUCUUGCCAGCAAACAGCCUGGUUGAAAUUUUUUCUCAUGGUCCAAGAUCUUUCCUUGGAAGCUUUCUUUCCUUUCACAGCUAAUAAAAUGGCCAUAUCUUUCAGCAGGGAGUUUUUUCUGUUUGUUUGUUUUUUCUAUUUUUAACAGAAUCAUAUACAAUAAUGAUUAUUUUAUUAGAAGUCUUCUGAAAUAAUUACUUUUCAAGAAAGAAUCAAUUAUAUAAAAGUGUAGAGAUUUAAAAAUAUGUUACAGGUUCACAAUACAAAUACUAGUAGCACUACCAAUAAUGAACAUCACUAAUUAUUUUCUUUGUUUCAUAUAGGAAAGGCAAGUAUGGGAGGAGAAAGGUGAAUAGCAUUUUAUUGCUUGUGAAAUUUUCUUUCUUUUUUUAGUUCUUUGCCCUGUAGGUGUUUGACAGUAUUUUGUAUUUAGGUGAGCUCAAUCUAAAAACUAAGCAGAUUAAGUGGAAUGCUAUAUAACUAGUUAGAAUAGCUUUAAUUUAAAAGGUAUUUUAAGAGGGAAAGAUUUUUAACUUCACAGGUUUCUGUCAAAGGAUAUAUUUAAUCUUUAAAAUGAGUGGCACCAUUUCAUUAUAUUUCAUUUUAUUAGAUAAUGUUGUUCAGUAGCUCAUUUGAGAAAUUCCAUUCCUCUGAUGAACGAACUGUGGACAGACUUUUCCUCAUCUAGGGUUUAUAAGGAAACUUCUUGCACUUUACCAGCAAAUUUAUUUGCUAAUGUUUCAACUGAAAUUUCACAAGAGUUUUGUAACAUGCUAACUCUGUGUAUGGGCAACAGAAUGACUUACAUGAGAGAAUAUAACUGCUGUUUGGAUCAUUUGCUAUGUAUGGCAUUGCAAACAUUUAAAGUAUCAGGAUUUG
rnacentral:lncRNA from 1 species